rnacentral:lncRNA from 1 species
CUCCUUAAAAUUCCCCUUUUGGUAUAGAGUAGGAUUUAAAUUUAUCAGUGGAAGUUAUCUAUAAUUACCAAUCAGAAAGUUAAAUUACAUGAAAAAAAAAUAAUGCUUUGUUGGGUUUUUUGAGUCACGGUUAAUAAUCCCUUAAAUGCUUCCAUAUCAGCUCAGCCAGGUGAACUAGAGCCUUGUGCAUGCCUUUCUUCCUGAAACCCUUGUUAGGUAACUCUGACCACGCCCAUGUGGGUGUGGUCAUUAGUACCUGUGACCUGCGGAAAGUGGACUUAGU